AGCCGACGCACAUCUUCUCGCGCCUCAACACGUGCUUUCAUAACAAAGAAAAGGGACAAGAAGUUCACAUCGUUUCCUUAGAAAAAAGGUAAAUAUUUCUUAUGUUCUGCAAAGUUUGUAAUUUUUUAAUGUUAUAAUUAACACCUAUUUUUUUUAAGAAAUCGUAAACAGGUAAACAUGGUAAAUAUAACUAUAAAGACAACAUUGCUCAUGUGCUGGCAAACGGUUACAAUGAGGAUACACUGAAAUAAACAUGGCUGCGCCCGUUCAAUCCAUUUUUUUUUCACAUGAAAAUGACACACAGCUAUAUCAUUCGUUAUUUGUUUUUUGUCUAAAUUAAAUCGGUAUGAAUUUAAAUUAAAUAUCUGAAUUCUACUUUUCAACAACAUGUCGAUAUCAAAUGUGUACAUGAUUGCGUACUAUUGGAGGUAUUAAUUAACAUAGGGGGAUCCAGAGGGGGGAAAAGGGGGGGGGGCUUUGUGGGAAAUAUAAUAAAUUAUAUUGGUUGCUUAUAUAGGGAAUCACUGAACAAAACUGUAGCGUCCCCCUUUAGGUCAGUAAGUGAGCCCCCUUACAUAACGUUCUUGAUCUGCCACUGAUUAAUGAUUUGUUUUUGGGGGAGGUACCCCCUGAAUUCCCCCUUACCCUAUGGCUAUAUUGAUUCUACCAGCUACACCUAUUUGUUCUCUUCUUUAAAGUCGCUUGGUUUAGGUGUAAAAGCUUUGUUCAAGAUUGACAGGACUUGAGUAUAAUUUUUUUUUCUGUGUUGCAAAUAUUUUAAGCUGCAUACAUAUAUCUCUUUUCUUUUCCUAAUUCUUACAGUUGCUAUAUAAACUAUAAUAAAGUCUCCAGGUGUUGGGUACAUUAAGAAAACUUAAAGGAGUUAAAAAUUUAAGGGUUAAUCUAAUUAAUUAUAUUAUUUUUAUUUAACAGCAAUUAUAUGGGUAGACAUUCCUUAAAUUCAAAGCUAAAAUACAAAAGAAAGAAGAGAGAACAAAAUCGACAAAAGAAAAAGGAAUCUGUGAAUAUUUCAGGCUAUUUAUUGUUCAUGUGCAAGGUCAUCCUACUGCUUUGCCCCAAGUUCGUCUUCAGAAACUGACCGUACAGUUGACACCUGUUCGCAGACAAUCAUGACAAUUAGCAACCCACCUCAGAAAAGUGUUUAUUCUCACGAUUCUGAAAAAUCCUCUGCUAACCAAGUUAUUUAGUCAGUAAACAAAAAAAUUGAAAAACCUGACCUGGAGACAAAGUUGACCUAUAUCAAUUGUACAUAAGAUUUCAAGAAUAUCAGUUACUUAAAAAUAGAAAGAAACAGACUGAUAUGGCAAAAUUUUGGUAAGUGUAUUACUAUAAGUAUGAAAAAGAAGAUGUGGUAUAUUUGCCAAUGAGACAACUCUCCACAAGAGACCAAAUGACACAGAAAUUAACAACUAUAGGUCACCAUACAGCCUUCAACAAUAAGCAAAGCCCAUACCGCAUAGUCAGCUGUAAAGGGCCCCGAAAUGACAAAUGUAAAACAAUUCAAACGAGAAAACUAACGGCCUUAUUUAUGUACAAAAAAAUGAAUGAAAAAA
rnacentral:lncRNA from 1 species